rnacentral:rRNA from 1 species
GACGAACGCUGGCGGCGUGCUUAACACAUGCAAGUCUAGCGGAGCGGCGAAGGGGAGAGUAACGCGUGAGUAACUGGACCCCUCUCGGGGAUAACAGCUGGAAACGGCUGCUAAUACCGGAUAGUGGGGGAUGACUCGCGUCCUAUCGGCUUGUUGGUGGGGUAGUGGCCUACCAAGGAGACGACGGGUAGCCGGCCUGGGAGGGCGACCGGCCACAUUGGGCUGAGAUACGGCCCAAACUCCUACGUGAGGCAGCAGUGGGGAAUAUUGCACAAUGGGGGAAACCCUGAUGCAGCAACGCGCGUGCGGGAUGACGGCCUUCGGGUUGUAAACCGCUUUCAGCCAUGACGCGGUAGUGGCAGAAGAAGCACCGGCUAACUCCGUGCCAGCAGCCGCGGUAAUAC